rnacentral:rRNA from 1 species
GACGAACGCUGGCGGCGUGCUUAACACAUGCAAGUCGAACGGAAAGGCCCUGCUUGCAGGGUACUCGAGUGGCGAACGGGUGAGUAACACGUGGGUGAUCUGCCCUGCACUUCGGGAUAAGCUUGGGAAACUGGGUCUAAUACCGGAUAGGAGCCAUCUUUAGUGUGGUGGUUGGAAAGUUUUUUCGGUGUAGGAUGAGCUCGCGGGCUAUCAGCUUGUUGGUGGGGUAAUGGCCUACCAAGGCGGCGACGGGUAGCCGGCCUGAGAGGGUGUACGGCCACACUGGGACUGAGGUACGGCCCAGACUCCUACGGGAGGGAGCAGGGGGGAAGAUUGCACAAUGGGCGCAAGCCGGAUGCAGCGACGCCGCGUGGGGGAUGAAGGCCUUCGGGUUGUAAACUCCUUUCGCUAGGGACGAAGCUUUUUGUGACGGUACCUAGAUAAGAAGCACCGGCUAACUACGUG